CGAACCCGUGCCCGUGCCCUAGCCUCGCGACGCCCUUUCCUCUUCUCCGCCACUUCCUUCUCUUCCUCAACCGACGACAACAUGACGCUCCUCCUUCCCGAGCGUACAAGACCCAAGACGACCCCUCUCCUCGCAUGACCUAGCCUAUGUUGUCUCCCCUCCCAAUUCUAUCUCCUCCUCUCGGGCUCUAGCGGCGCCAGCCGAUCGCCGGCCACCGGGGGCUUGAGCUCUUUCAUUUUCAUCACCGAGCACCUCCCCUUUACCUUAGAUCGCCGACCAUGGAGCUCCUACGCCGACAGUUACAAGCUUGAUCGCCGACGCCGAGUUUCCACCUCAUCCGUGCCCUAGAUCGUCACGUGAGAAGGUGUUCGGGGAUCCAAGGAAACCACGAGGUUCCAGCAGCAAUUGUUUUCCAGCCACCAGCUUCUGAUUUCUUGCUUCCAUCACCGAAGAAGAGAGUAAGUGGUUUCCAGCAAGUGUAGGGUUCUGUGGAUCUGGAAUCUGUGGGGGUAUUUGUGUGCUCAAUUCCAAACUGUGGUGUUUUCUGGUAUUCCCAGCGGCUGCAACUUCCGAUAGUGAGUCAACAGAUGAGGAUUUAGGUUAAGGCUGUCCGGAGGAGUUCCAGUCGCUAGUUUCCGCCUCCAGGUUGAGAGAAUUUUCAUUUUGGAUAUUCUCUUUGGUUUUCUUAUUAUGUUAUCAUCUACGUUUUCAGACUUGUACCUUUUGGCACUUGGAUUUUGUAUGAUCCCUUAUUAUCGAUGGGUUUUUGUUUGGAUGUAUGCUGGUGAUUUAAGUUUUAUGGCUGUAGUUGAGUAGGAUAUUUGAGAUGUUUUCCUUAUUGUUGCUUAUGUUUGGUUUUUACUAUUAAGCGUGGGUGCUUGCUUAAUAUAUAUUGUUAUUA